rnacentral:lncRNA from 1 species
GAGCCCAGGAGGCGGGGCGCCUGUGGGAGCCGUGGAGGGAACUUUCCCAGUCCCCGAGGCGGAUCCGGUGUUGCAUCCUUGGAGCGAGCUGAGAGCUCGAGGUGAGCUGGGCUCGCGGUCGCCCCUCUCGCGCGCCCUCUUUAAGAACCACGGCGUCCAACCUCCCUGGAAAUGGGGGGAACAUGGCCGAGGCGCGUGGCGAGGCCGCCUCGUGGAGGCCCCGGAGCGGCAUCCUCAGCGCCCCAGCGAUCCGGUGCCCAUUAGAACCUGCUAAGGCCAUCAAACCUAUUGAUCGGAAGUCAGUCCAUCAGAUUUGCUCUGGGCCGGUGGUACCGAGUCUAAGCACUGCGGUGAAGGAGUUAGUAGAAAACAGUCUGGAUGCUGGUGCCACUAAUAUUGAUCUAAAGCUUAAGGACUAUGGAGUGGAUCUCAUUGAAGUUUCAGGCAAUGGAUGUGGGGUAGAAGAAGAAAACUUCGAAGGCUUAACUCUGAAACAUCACACAUCUAAGAUUCAAGAGUUUGCCGACCUACCUCAGGUUGAAACUUUUGGCUUUCGGGGGGAAGCUCUGAGCUCACUUUGUGCACUGAGAAACGUGCCUGCUUCCCCUUCGCCUUCUGCCGUGAUUGUCAGUUUCCUGAGGCCUCCCCAGCCAUGCUUCCUGUACAGCCUGCAGAACUGACUCCUAGAAGUACCCCACCCCACCCCUGCUCCUUGGAGGACAACGUGAUCACUGUAUUCAGCUCUGUCAAGAAUGGUCCAGGUUCUUCUAGAUGAUCUGCACAAAUGGCUCCUCUCCUCCUUCCUGAUGUCUGCCAUUAGCACUGGAAUAAAGUUCCUGCUGAAAAUCCA